UACGAAGGGGGCUAGCGUUGUUCGGAAUUACUGGGCGUAAAGCGCGCGUAGGCGGCUUUGCAAGUCGAGUGUGAAAUCCCCAGGCUUAACCUGGGAACUGCAUUCGAGACUGCAUAGCUAGAGUAUGGGAGAGGGAAGUGGAAUUUCAGGUGUAGCGGUGAAAUGCGUAGAUAUCUGAAGGAACAUCAGUGGCGAAAGCGGCUUCCUGGACCAGAACUGACGAUCAGGCACGAAAGCGUGGGGAGCAAACAGG
rnacentral:rRNA from 1 species